CAAGUCGGCACACAAUGGAGGAAGAUUAUUUUGCUUUCUCGUCUUUUAUGGCCGUCAAAAAAACUUUGUGACGAAAAAGCAAAUUUAUUUUCCUCAACUUUGGUGGCAAGAGCUGGUUUACCGUUCGUGUACGUGUUCAUACGAUACAGAUCUUAACAUCGCAAGACGUGGGUCGGCCGGAGUCCUGAAAGCUGGAUUCCACGAGGGAAAAUGAGGCGCGUUGUUUUUAGCGAUUACGUGCUAUUCAUUUCAUUCAGAUCAGUUUAAUGUAGGAGGAGAUAUUAUCCGGAAGCUGGCAGCUAUGGAACGAUCAUGUUGAAGAGGCUCCAUGUUUUCGGGCAGAACGGAAAUCGAUUUUAGGGAAUAUAUCGCUAGCUGUCGGGGUGUCUCGAAGGUACAUUUAAGUAUGUUGAAGCACAAAAAUGUGCAUAUGCUUAAGAAGAAAGGACUUCCUUUUUCGUGAACGAUUUCUUUACGUUGUGUAGUUGGGCUCAACUGCUCUCGGCACAAUGCCAGAAGCAGUCUUCGAAUCGCUCCAGUUUAGCGGCAUGUGGCCAGUGUGAAUAGAAUUCAUUCACAUGGAGUGAACAUUUUUGAGUAGUAUGCGUUAUCGUGGGAUAUCGGCAAUCGUUAAGAAGUCACCGGGGUGGUCAAGUUAGAGAUGGCCUGUUACUUCGGUCACCAGACAGCGCUCCCGUUUCCGACCCUUGUCGCAUGUGUGAAUUAAAGUACACAAGAAUUCGAAAGAAGCUGCUGUAGCAUGCAACAUCCUAAAUUCCCAUCCUGCUGCUACUUCACUAACUAGAUGUUGAACGCUAGCAAAUGCAAACAAACCGUACAAGGGAUAAUUAUGCCCAUCUGUGCAUCUAAAUUGAUGGGAAUGAAGCCAACGUCUUGGAACAUUCGGGACUGCGUCAACCUUGCAUUAUGUGGGAUUCAAGGAUUUCAAGUAUACCACUGAGUGUCUUCGGCUCCAGACUUUUCGAGUGAUGACCCAAGUGCGAGGAGCACCUGGGGUCUUCCAACCGACACAUCAGUUCACCUCACAAUGUGGCGGAGUUCGCUUCAUCCCCCUUUUGGAAAAAGCAUGUUCCUGGCCAACGGUGAAGGAGGACUUGCGUAGUACGGGUUCGUAUGGGUGUCGUCAGUUGCAGGGUCACGACACUACUGCCAGACUCCCAUUGCUAUACUAACGGAGCGAGCAACGCACAGCGAGGUGCCUCCGAAAACCCUACCAGGACUAAUUGAAUCUAACAAUACUAUACAAGCCGCCUUCAGGUGAAACAGGUGCGACAUUGGAGGUGCUCAGGUGAAAACAAUUUUCAUGAAGUCUGUUAUGAUAUGCCCACUGGAAGGGAAUCUCAACUGAUGCAUUCAAAAUCUGAGUCUCGUGAAAAGCCACGAUUCGUGGCUGUUGACACGUUGAAAGCUAUAGCGUAGUAUUCCUACAGAAAGCAACAUGACAGAAUCUAAGGCCGUUCACGCUGACGUCGUCUCACUGCGUUUGCAGACGCCGUUGUAAGAGGGCGUUCUGAUGAUUCAACGGCUAGCAUGACUAAAGCUUCCAACUAAAUUCAGACUCCACGGAAGUUCUUGAGUCCUAUCUUUUGAAUUCUGAACGUGGAAUAUCGCAUAUGGUCAGCGUCAGUUGACUGCGAUAGGUUGCGUGAGACGCGGAAUAGGUGCGACCGACAUUUGCCUCACCACUGUAAGACCACACGCUCAAACUGCAUUCCCACUGAUACAUCGAGUCGACAUGCGCUCGGCGAGUUUCAUAUGUUUUUUUUUCCGGGCGGCAGGGUUACCAACAACGCGUCAUGCGUAACCCCACCAGCCUGGGAGUUCAAAAUUUCCGGGCGGUGGGGCCUGUCAUCUUGUAUGAUCUCUUAUUUGCAUUUUCGGCCUUCUCCAUGAUCUAAGAAACACUGAUGAUAUCUACGUUAUCGCAUACCGCAGACAAUCUCGCUCACUGCCCAGAGUUCCUUCUGGCGCUCGACGUCAUGGGCAAGGUAGUCUACCCAAUUCGUUGUUCCGUCCUUGUAGUAGGCGCCCGGCUCGAGCUCUUCUUUGUCGCUCACGCAAAGCAGGAGCUGGGUGGCAGCCCCUUGUUGUGGCAGUUUCAGCACCAAGGGUGCAAUAAGUGAGUAGAUCGCCUCAAAUAUCGGCGUGUACCAAUGUACGCUGCCUUCAGCGUAGCGGAGCAUCAACCCUGUGCCGACCAGCCCGGGGUGAGCAGCAUACGCAGUGACACGGCACUUCGGAUCUUGGGCCAGCCGGCGCUGUAGCUCUUUCGUAAACCAAAGGUUCGCCAUCUUUGUUGUGCCAUACAUUACUUUUGAGUCGUAGUUCUUUUCAGUGAUUGGCUCUCCUUGCAGCUCAUGCAGCGGUUUUCCUAGCGCGGACGCCACUCUCUCAGCUGCCUCCGGAGAUAGGGCUGCAUCGAGUGAUCGGAACUUCGGGUUGCGCGUGAUGUGCGCUGCAGAACUGAUUGUAAUGACUCGCCCGUGUGCUGCCUUCACCGCAGGAAGGAGCAAGUCAGUGAGCAAGAAUGGUCCAAGAUGAUUUGUCACAAAGUGUCGUUCGAAACCUGUAUUCUUGUCCAUGGACAACUUGUCGGUUGACAUCAGGCCAGCGUUGUUCACCAAGAUGUCGAUCUUUCCCCGGCUUUCCGCAUGAGCCCAAACAGCGAACCGUCUC
rnacentral:lncRNA from 1 species